GUUGCGGUUAAAACGCUCGUAGUCGAAUUCUUGCUAGGUGGUACUGGUGCUUCCCAGUGAAGUAUACGCGGUGUUCGCUUCAGCUAUUACUUGGUGAAGGUGCGUACGCUUCAGUGCGUGUCACACUAUCCAAGUCCUUACUUUGAGGAAAUGAGAGUGUUCCAAGCAGGCGCAUGCCUUGAGUAUGAUAGCAUGGAAUAACAGUAUGAGACCGCCUUUCAAAGUUGUUGGUUCUUUGGAAUUAGGUAAUGAAAACAUGGAUGGUUGGGGGUAUUCGUAUUUAACUGUCAGAGGUGAAAUUCUUGGAUUUUUUAAAGACAAACUAUUGCGAAGGCAUUUACCCAGGAUGUUCUCAUUGAUCAAGAACGAAAGUUAGGGGAUCGAAGACGAUCAGAUACCGUCCUAGUCUUAACCAUAAACUAUGUCGGCUGGAGAUUGGGGUUGUCAGAUUAGUGACAACUUCGGCAUCCUUGAGAGAAAUCGAAGCCUUUGGGUUCCGGGGGGAGUAUGGUCGCAAGGCUGAAACUUAAAGGAAUUGACCGAAGGGCACCACCAGGAGUGGA
rnacentral:rRNA from 1 species